rnacentral:rRNA from 3 species
GACCUCAAAUCAGGUAGGACUACCCGCUGAACUUAACAU